UGCGAAUAUAACAUUAAACGCGAAUAACUCCGAAGUCGAAGACAUACGAAUAACGAACUGAUUACUGCGAAACCGACGUAAUGGGAAUAUAACAUGAAGAUGAGCACUCGAAGAAAGCCAGGCGAAAAAAAACAAAAAAAAUCAAACGAAUCAAGGCAAAGAACGACGACAUGCGGCUAGCGAUAGUGAUUCCUUUAUAUUAGACACAGGGGAGUCAAUAUAGACAAGUUUAUAAAUGAACGAG